AGGGCACUAGCUCAACAGGUAGAGCACCCGAUUCCAAAUCGGGCGGUUGUGGGUUCGAGUCCUACGUGCCCUG
rnacentral:tRNA from 1 species